rnacentral:rRNA from 1 species
UACGUAGGGGGCGAGCGUUGUCCGGAUUUAUUGGGCGUAAAGAGCGUGUAGGCGGCCAGGUAGGUCUGCUGUGAAAACUCGAGGCUCAACCUCGAGACGUCGGCGGAAACCAUCUGGCUAGAGUCCGGAAGAGGAGAGUGGAAUUCCUGGUGUAGCGGUGAAAUGCGCAGAUAUCAGGAAGAACACCCGUGGCGAAAGCGGCUCUCUGGGACGGUACUGACGCUGAGACGCGAAAGCGUGGGGAGCGAACAGG